rnacentral:rRNA from 1 species
CCCUUAGAUGUUCUGGGCUGCACGCGCGCUACACUGAAGCUAUCAACACGUUUUCCCUCCCUGAGAAGGGCGGGUAACCUUUUGAAUCAGCUUCGUGGUAGGGAUCGGGGCUUGCAAUUGUUCCCCGUGAACCAGGAAUUCCUAGUAGACGCGAGUCAUAAGCUCGCAUCGAUUAAGUCCCUGCCCUUUGUACACACCGCCCGUCACUACUACCGAUUGAACGUUUUAGUGAGGCAUUUGGACCGACGCAUCUCAGUUUAACCGCUGGUUUGUGUUGGAAAGACUUCCAAACUUGAGCGUUGAGAGGAAGUAAAAGUCGUAACA